AGCAGCCGCGGUAAUUCCAGCUCCAAUAGCGUAUAUUAAAGUUGUUGCAGUUAAAAAGCUCGUAGUUGAAUUUCGGGACUAAUAUGUCGGUCGUACUUUGUACGUACUAGCAUUAUUGGUUUCUCCCUUCUGACGAACCACGAUGUCAUUAAUUUGGUGUCAUGGGAAAUCAGGACUGUUACUUUGAAAAAUUAGAGUGUUUAAAGCAAGCUCGCGCUUGAAUACAUUAGCAUGGAAUAAUGAAAUAGGACGUUUGAUUCUAUUUUGUUGGUUUCUAGGAUCGACGUAAUGAUUAAUAGGGAUAGUUGGGGGCAUUAGUAUUCAAUUGUCAGAGGUGAAAUUCUUGGAUUUAUUGAAGACUAACUACUGCGAAAGCAUUUGCCAAGGAUGUUUUCAUUAAUCAAGAACGAAAGUUAGGGGAUCGAAGACGAUCAGAUACCGUCGUAGUCUUAACCAUAAA
rnacentral:rRNA from 1 species